GGAUAACCGCUGAAAGCAUAUAAGCGGGAAGCCCACCCCAAGAUUAGGUAUCCCGGCCGUAAGGCCCUGAAGGCCCCUUCUAGACAAGGAGGUUGAUAGGUCAGAGGUGGAAGCGCUGUAAGGCGUGGAGCUGACUGAUACUAAUUGGCCGUGAGGCUUGACCGC
rnacentral:rRNA from 1 species